CUUAUAUUAAAAAAUUCUUGUGAGAGUAAAAAGUUUAUAUUUAAAUUUAUGUAUUUAUUAUAUAUAAUUUAAUUAAUUAAAUAGAGAUUAUAUUAAAUUCACCCAUACUAAAAAGAAAGGAGGCGCAUACUCAUCCACCUACCAUUAGCUCAGCUUCUCAACCGUACACGUGUGCGCCCACGUAGGACAACUACAAGGCACAAUUAUCGCAAAUUUACCUUCCUCACGAAGCCUAAAUCUUUGGAUUUUAAAAAUCCAUCCUUUAGCUCUCUCUUGUAAUAAAAUACUACACACUGUUCAGAGCCAGUGGGAGUCUCUGAGCAAUUGUUACCAACCAUGUGUGGCCUUAAUCCAUAUUCCUACUCACACUUAAAAAUUGCAUUGUCAAGACCCUUAUCCCAACAGGAACACAGUUGACCACUUAUGCUCACAAAAUUUUAGGUAUUGAUGAUGGCAGAUCUAAAGAUAAGGUCUCAAGUGCAUUAAGACAACUAAAAUUCAGCGCAAACCAAAUCUAUUCAAAACUGCAAAUCUAAUCUUCCCCCCACCCCCCAACUAGACACAGUGAAACACUCGUCAAUCAUCAAAUACGGUAUCAUUACUAUCAUUAACAUGAACACCAAGUCUAAUUUUGCCGCUAAUGCAAUCCAACGCAACACUACUAAGCAUUUCUUGUUGGAUUAAACGAACUCAUUUUCGUUUUGUGACAAAAAAUAAGGCCCAAUAUAUAAUAUAGCCCUACUGUCCUUUUUUUUUUUUUUUUAAAUAAACCUUGCAACAUGGGUUGGAAACCUGGCGCAACCCACAAACCGAACCAUUUCGUCGGUCACAAACUAAUGACGCACCCACCAGAAAACCCAAUUCCAUGGUUAAACAGAAAGUGUUAUAAUCAGAUCGAACACAUCGCACAGAUGUUACACAAAAAUCAAAGUGGGUUCAGGGAUCUGUAC
rnacentral:misc_RNA from 1 species